rnacentral:rRNA from 1 species
UACGGGGGGAGCAAGCGUUGUUCGGAUUUACUGGGCGUAAAGGGCGCGUAGGCGGUCAGCACAAGUCAGUUGUGAAAUCUCCGGGCUUAACUCGGAAAGGUCAACUGAUACUGUGCGACUAGAGUGCGGAAGGGGCAACUGGAAUUCUCGGUGUAGCGGUGAAAUGCGUAGAUAUCAGGAGGAACACCCGUGGCGAAGGCGGCCCCCUGGGUCGGCCCUGACGCUGAGGCGCGAAAGCGUGGGGAGCGAACGGG